UGGGGAAUAUUGGACAAUGGGGGGAACCCUGAUCCAGCCAUGCCGCGUGUGUGAAGAAGGUCUUCGGAUUGUAAAGCACUUUAAGUUGGGAGGAAGGGCAGUAAGCGAAUACCUUGCUGUUUUGACGUUACCGACAGAAUAAGCACCGGCUAACUCUGUGCCAGCAGCCGCGGUAAUACAGAGGGUGCAAGCGUUAAUCGGAAUUACUGGGCGUAAAGCGCGCGUAGGUGGUUCGUUAAGUUGAAUGUGAAAGCCCCGGGCUCAACCUGGGAACUGCAUCCAAAACUGGCGAGCUAGAGUAGGGCAGAGGGUGGUGGAAUGUCCUGUGUAGCGGUGAAAUGCGUAGAUAUAGGAAGGAACACCAGUGGCGAAGGCGGCCACCUGGGCUCAUACUGACACUGAGGUGCGAAAGCGUGGGGAGCAAACAGG
rnacentral:rRNA from 1 species